rnacentral:lncRNA from 1 species
UUGAUGACAUAGGCUUGCCUUAGGGUAACUCCUUGACCAAAUAGGAUUUAGAACCUCUAAUUUUGAAUAUAAAGUAUGCUAAUUUUGAAUAUAUAGUAUGCUAGGGUGCUGCCAUUACUGCAAAUCUUCUCGGCAACACCAAGACAGGUUAUGUUCUUUUAAACACGACUUCUCGUCCGACCUGGGAGAGGUGAUCUAAUUUUCAUGGGANNNNNNNNNNNNNNNNNNNNAAUCUUCUCGGCAACACCAAGACAGGUUAUGUUCUUUUAAACACGACUUCUCGUCCGACCUGGGAGAGGUGAUCUAAUUUUCAUGGGAGUUGGUCUGAAGGUUAUACCGCUUUGUAUGGAGGAUGCAUGGAUUGCAUGCUUUCUCCCAUCUUUUCAGAAGAUUUGUCCCUUCUCAUUGGACUAAAAUAAAUGCACACUCUUUAUAAUGGUUGCUUUGACCAAAUUAUUUCAGAAAAUUUUGGUUGGUGAGGCUUGCCUUGGCACUUGCUUCUGGCAGACCCUUAAUAUAUGUAAAAUUAGCCAUUU